AUGGGCCACACAUGGACUCCAUGUCUCACAGGAAGUUGCUCCUUAAACGCUCACAGAACCACCCUGGAGCAGAGCCGCGGACUGGGAAGGCGCCCUAUCACCAAGAGGACAGGCCCUGCAGAAUGCUGUGGGGAGGAAGACAUGAUGCAACAGCUUCAAAGCACCUGGCAGAGCUCUCGCCUCUUUCCCUGCAAUUGCCAGUGUCCAGAUGGGCAGUCGGUCAGCCCUGGGACUGCUCGACUGUUGCCUGCACUCAGCAGCCGUGACCCAGAGCCCAGCUGCCCAGAAAAACAGAAGCUGUCAUGGAAUUUGUGUUCUUGUCACACAUUCAAAAAUUACUUUUUUUUUUUUUUUUAAAAGAACCUAUACUUUUGGGCCCUUAUAAACAAUCCAUCUUCUAAAAGUCCACCUGAGACAGGCUGGAUAUCCUCACGGCCACCUAUUUAAGUAAAUUCCCCAUCUCCAUCACCACCCAGACUCCUCUCAGCUCCUGCUUCCUUUUUUCUCCUAGCUUGCGUUGUCAGUAACACACUCCGGAUUAGACUUAUUUACCUUGUUAUCACGUCUUCCUACCCUGACUCCCAGUAGAAUAGAAGCUCGAGGAGGGAGGGGUGUUGCCUGUCUUGUUUACUCUGUAUCCUCAGAACUUAAACUGUGCCUGGCAUGCCAGAGGCACUCGAUAAAUAUUUCUGGAAUGAAUAAAAAGGAUGCUUUCUUCAGAAAAUGGUGACGCUUUCUCAGCAGGGCUGGAAGGGCAGACGCUGGCAUCUCCGUUGCUCCUAGAAGCCCCCCUGACAUGGUCUGCCCUGGGCUAGAAUCCGGUGCACCUCCCUUUCUGGUCUUUACCACAACCUGGGACACCUUGAGACUGGACUCCUAGAUGGGUGGCAGGACCUGCUCCGAGCUGCCCAGCAAGACCUGGGCAAGCCACCCCCACCAGCCUGGGGCUCCCAACUUCCUCUGUGCUCACCCCUGCACCCUCACGCCUCACCUGGGAGCUGAUGAGACAUGCGAAAACUCCAGCCCCACCCCGGACCUGCAGGGACCAGGGGAUGCAUUUGAACCAGGGAUCCACGUCAAACAAGUGCACACCGCAGUUUCCCAUGCGAUGCCCUGCCCACAAACGCCCCCUUCUCCCAAGCUAAGUGGAGGGCUUUGCUGAAGUCAUCUUGAUUCUUCCUCCCUGCAGCUACUAAAACAGGCAACGCUGGCAGCUGAGGGGCGCAGGCCUUAGCAUUACCGCAGAAACCGUGAAGGGCAAACCCGGCAAUUAGCCGGGGAGAGUGGGGAGGCGAGGCAGGCACAAUGGGAAGACAGGGGAACAGCAGCUGUAAUUGCAGGGUGUGCCAGCCCUGGGGACGCGCAGGGGGAGGGCAUUAAGACGUGGAGGCAACUACCUGUGUGUGAGCUCCUGUCGGGUGGGGGCCCACAGGGGCUGGCAGGGGAGCAGCGGGGUGACGGGAUGCGAGGAAGAUGUGAGUCCAGCCACCUUGAGCCUGAACCCAGCCUUCCUAGGUGUCCAGGGGGAGCCUCCCUCACUUGUCCCCACCCUCGCUGGUGACACCCAAGGGACGCUGCCCCAGGCUUCUUGGCCACUGGAGGGUGAGGUUUCCUGGAAGCUGUUUCCCUGUUUGGUGCAUCUGAAUUGUAUCCAGAGAGUUCUAAGCUGUCAGAGUGAAUUUCACACUGAGGCUCCCUGGCACCCUGGGGCUUCAUGGCAGGGUGUGGAGGCAGCCUGCAGGGCAAAGAGGCCAACCUGGUGGGCUUCCUGCCCCUUGCCUGACCCCUGCAUCCCACACACACUGACU
ensembl:lncRNA